UUUGCCUACGGGACGCAGCAGUGAGGAAUAUUGGUCAAUGGGCGCAAGCCUGAACCAGCCAAGUCGCGUGAGGGAAGACGGCCCUACGGGUUGUAAACCUCUUUUGCCGGGGAGCAAGCCUGAGCACGUGUGCCCAGGCGGAGAGUACCCGGAGAAAAAGCAUCGGCUAACUCCGUGCCAGCAGCCGCGGUAAUACGGAGGAUGCGAGCGUUAUCCGGAUUUAUUGGGCGUAAAGGGGGCGCAGGCGGGGUGUUAAGCCGGCGGGAAAAAUUCAGGGCGCA
rnacentral:rRNA from 1 species